rnacentral:rRNA from 1 species
UACGAAGGGGGCUAGCGUUGUUCGGAAUUACUGGGCGUAAAGCGCAUGUAGGCGGAUAUUUAAGUCAGGGGUGAAAUCCCAGAGCUCAACUCUGGAACUGCCUUUGAUACUGGGUAUCUUGAGUAUGGAAGAGGUAAGUGGAAUUCCGAGUGUAGGGGUGAAAUUCGUAGAUAUUCGGAGGAACACCAGUGGCGAAGGCGGCUUACUGGUCCAUUACUGACGCUGAGGUGCGAAAGCGUGGGGAGCAAACAGG